rnacentral:misc_RNA from 1 species
CCUCCAGAACACUAGUCUUGAUCCCUAUUCUUUUAUCCCCAAGAGUAAUUGUUUCAAUGCUGUCAUCAUCAUCAAUAUCAACAUCUGAAUCUGCAGAAGUAAUUGUUACAUCAGGCUUAAGCUGUGCAGACUGAAGCAGAGGGGGAAUGACAACAUUCAUAUAUGGAAGAAAAUCCUUCCCGAGGCAUUUGCAAAGCCUGGCCCAUGCUUGUAGCAUGUAGCUUAUUGUUGGAUCAUCUGCGUCCAUUUGAGAUCCUUGAAGUGACAUUAACACAUCCAUAACCUGCCUAGCAUCAUCCCUAAAUUUGUCCCUUCCAACAGCCAUCCCAACCAAACUAAUGCACUCCAUAGCUUUUGCACGAAGCAUGCGAUU